AAAUACACUCAACCCCCGGUGGUUGGUCACUUUUUCGUUUGACACUUUUUUAGUUUGUACCCCGUUGGUUGGUCAAAGUCAAACUAAAAAGUGACGAACUGUCACUUUUUACACGGCGCUCACGAACACUAUCAAAACAAAUGUUUGGUAGUGUGUGUGAACUCCGUGUAAAAGGGGUGUCAAACUAAAAAGUGACCCCGUUCGUUUGACAACAGUUGGUGUCAAACCAUCGGGGUUUGAGUGUAUUAUGCAGCUUCCACCAAAAACCGAAGUGCGCAUCUCUUCCCUGUUUGAAAAAUGUCGCACGUCGUACGAGCUGUCGCGCGGUUUUGAUUUUACCGUUUCGAUAUCGAUUGGUCGAAAGGACGACAAACGUACGACAAACACUUGACAUGACCGACAUUGUUUUUCCAUCGAUUUUCCUUCAAUUUGAAGUCAAGAUUUUCGUCGACGCAGUUUGACAGUUCUCUCCAGUUGGACUUGUUUGGACUUGAUCAAAUCAGAGAAACUUUGAAUCGAUUCGAACCAGUUUUACGUUGCAGUAAGGUUUCGUGUGGAUUUUGGCCGGUUGAUUGAUUUCCUGAUUUCGGCCUUCGUGAUGGUGGAGGAGGAGGAGAACGGGUCCCAUCGUUGCUCCAGCGGGCCUUGCCGGAAGAUGGGAGGGAAAGGAACCGGUCUGCGAUCGAGGAAGCGGAUUGGCGUUCAACUUUCCGCUGGAGGUGGCGGUGCGUGCCAUACCCAAGGAGGAGGAUCAAACGGCAUGUAAUGGAUGAGGCGGCGUUUCUGAUCCGCCGGAGGUUUUUAUACGGUAACCAAAAAUAUUCCAAUCAGAUCCUGCUGACAACCCAGCGUCUCCGUUUUGUCCCACGGAACGGAAGCUGUAACGAUCGCAAAAACACCUGCACCGGACACUUCCGGUAAACUGAUGUUGUCCCGUACUCCGGUGGCCAUCAAUCCGUGGGAAAUAAACGGAAGCAAACUCGAAAAGAUGGCUGACAAAGUCCGGCCAAAAUGCCGAAGUGACGAGAUGAGCUGAAAGGCCAACCGGAAGACAACGCCAAAAAACCACUUAAAGAUCGCGAUACACAACAUCUAAAAUUAAUGAAUGUAUAUGAAAUUUAGUGAAAAAGUUUAAUUUACAGAAAAUAUACAAUACAUCUAAAAAUAAUUUAAAAAUAAAAAAAUGUCUAUUUUUACUGCAACCUAACCUAAUAAAAACG